GGCAGGCCUAACACAUGCAAGUCGAGCGGAAACGACACUAACAAUCCUUCGGGUGCGUUAAUGGGCGUCGAGCGGCGGACGGGUGAGUAAUGCCUAGGAAAUUGCCUUGAUGUGGGGGAUAACCAUUGGAAACGAUGGCUAAUACCGCAUAAUGCCUACGGGCCAAAGAGGGGGACCUUCGGGCCUCUCGCGUCAAGAUAUGCCUAGGUGGGAUUAGCUAGUUGGUGAGGUAAUGGCUCACCAAGGCGACGAUCCCUAGCUGGUCUGAGAGGAUGAUCAGCCACACUGGAACUGAGACACGGUCCAGACUCCUACGGGAGGCAGCAGUGGGGAAUAUUGCACAAUGGGCGAAAGCCUGAUGCAGCCAUGCCGCGUGUAUGAAGAAGGCCUUCGGGUUGUAAAGUACUUUCAGUUGUGAGGAAGGGGGUAGCGUUAAUAGCGCUAUCUCUUGACGUUAGCAACAGAAGAAGCACCGGCUAACUCCGUGCCAGCAGCCGCGGUAAUACGGAGGGUGCGAGCGUUAAUCGGAAUUACUGGGCGUAAAGCGCAUGCAGGUGGUUCAUUAAGUCAGAUGUGAAAGCCCGGGGCUCAACCUCGGAACUGCAUUUGAAACUGGUGAACUAGAGUACUGUAGAGGGGGGUAGAAUUUCAGGUGUAGCGGUGAAAUGCGUAGAGAU
rnacentral:rRNA from 1 species